rnacentral:lncRNA from 1 species
GGGAUGGGAAAUGGUAUUGGAAGGGAGUUGCCACGCACGGUGAAGUUACCGCGCGCAGGGAGCGAGGACGCGUGGCAGUUAGCGGUGUCGCGACGAUGCGGGUUCGUCCGGACGGGUAAUGAAUUUUUUUGGAUGAACUUUUUUUUGCCAGAGGCGUUGGUUUCUCUAGGGGAACAUGCGUGUCAGGAUGUUAUAGGAAACGCUCUGGGCCCACAGUUAACACUUAAAUUGCAUGCUUUAGAUGUACAUCCACGGGAGAAGAUCUAAGGUGGGUAAGAUGUUUUUGGGUGAUAGGUAUUUUUCAAUUCCUUCACUUCUCUAUGUAUAGAUUAGUCUAUGCUUCAUAUUUCUGCAACUACCCCUUUUGCCCCACGUUUAUGGAUGUGUGUCCGUGUUCUGGUUGGGAAUGUGAUGUGUGUUGCAGGCCAAUCGUUACCCACUACUAGAGAACAGACUUUUGAUCCUUACUUUUAGUCCCGCUCUAAAUUGAGCCCAGGAGUAAUAGAGAUUUAGUUCCAGUUGGAACCACCGAUUAGGACUAGAAUCUCCUGUCCAACGAAUAGUGCAACAGACUUUUGUAGCAGGG